AUUGGUGGCAGACCCGCCUUGCAAGAAGGAACAAGAUGUUGUUCCACUAGAAGCAGUAUACACCGGGGGUGUGGACAAAGAGGGUACAAUGAUAUUUUUUGGGAGCGGGAGCAACACUUUCUACGUAACUGAAGAUGAGGUAUUGAAUAACAAAGCCUUAUGUGGGGAGGGAGUUGUAGCAAAUGCUCACCCACUGUCAUAUGUUAAGCAGGAUGAUGAUGUUGGUUCCUUAAGAGGAGAUGACGGGGAUGGUGGAGGGAUUGGCACUGAAGUGGUAAGUUGAUUGUUUUUAAGGUCAUCGUUGGAGUGUUUUUUCGUUCUAAUAAUGGGUGUUUUAUUGAGCAGGAUUUUGGUGAACUAAAUAAACUCGUGGGAGUUAUUACAAGGGAUGCUUUGAUUACUUCCCCCGUUCAGAAGGUGUGUGAGGACCAAACAUCGGGAAAGGAGCCUGAAUCUAAGGAGAAGUCAGCUGCAGAAGAAAAGGGAGAUGUGGGAGAAACGGAGGUUGAGAAGGUGACAAUUCAUCAGGAGAAGGAUGAAGCCGUAGAGGAAGAAGCUGUUAAGGAGGGGCGCUUUAAGGAGAAGGAGGAUGGUGUAAGUGAACUCAGGAAGAGGAUAUGUGUACAAUAUGGGGGAGUUGCACUUUUGUUGCGGUUGUUGAGUUUUUUUGGGCCAUGCAUUGCAGGGUGUUGAAGAUGUUGGUGGGAGCGAGGGAUUAGUAAAUGUCGCUGAUGAGGAGAAGGGAGAUGUUGUGGGGACAACAUGCGAGGUAAGCAUCAGUACGAUUGUGUUGUAAACUUUAUAGGCUAUACUAGUGCACAAAGUUUUUUAGGUUGCGUAAGGAACACAGUAAAAUAAUUGAAGGUGUGGUUAAGGUGUAGUAGUUGUACAUGUGGAUCAUGUCUAAUAUGCGUACAGGUGUACAUUGUUAGGUACAUUGUUAGGUAUGUGUUGUUGAGGUUAUAACUGAAAUGUGUUUCGGUGUUGCUAUGUUGAGGUGGCUGCGGCUGAUGGGGUUGAAGGUGGAAACGAGGAUGAAAGUGCUGAGGAUAAAAUGUUGGCAAGAGAGGAAACUAUGGUGGAGUUAAGUGAUUCUUCUCCAUGCCCUAGGAGUGAGAAGCAUAAGCCAGUUGAGAAGGAAGCCGACUUGGCGGCCCUUUUGUUGGCUAAGGAACGAUUUACGAUGGAUAAACUCGUUCCUGAGGUGGAGGAUCCUGAUUAUGCUUUCUUUGAAAGUGUUUUGGUUCUGAAUCCUAAAGUGUAAGUAACAUAUCCAUCUGAUUUGAAAGCGGGAUGAUGUUGCUAAUUUUUAGGUGUCUUCUUGCAGGCUCCAUCUUAAUGCAGGGGG